AGAGAAAAAUGUUGAAGAGCUUCGUGCAUCCAAGAAAAGGUGUUAUGAAAAAUCUGUAGAAUGUGAUAAGAAAAUAAGAACCUGCUUCGCCAGCGUUGGCGCAUUCUCAAGUGAAGAAAAUUUCAUAAGGGGCAACCCCGAGGGCCCAAUUGGAUGGAUCAGCCACGAAGCUGAAGCUUUUGAAGAAGUUUUGAAUAGCCGCAGAGACAUUUGUGCCUUCUCAGGUGCUAGGGGGAUUGCCAUUGUUUUGGAGAAAAAAGGUUGCGAUCACGUGAAAUCCUUGGCACAAACCGAAGCCGACUUGUCCCCUGAAGACAUAAAAGACCCUUCAGCCGAGGCAAGUCUGGUUGGUGGAAAAUUUUUCACCGACAUCUGGGACAAUGGUGGCCGGGAGAUGGCCCAAGAAAUUAUACGAAAAAGCGAGAAAGGUAUUCAUGACGCUAGAAAAGUAGCAGAGGCCGCUGAGAAAAGUGCGGAUCUCGAAGGGCAAAUAGGUAUUGACUAGUAGUUUUUGGCUCUUUGUUGUAAUUUUUUGAUUUCGAACUUGUUUACACUUUUGUAACACAGCCGCACUUUCUCCUCCCUCAGAGCCUGCCGAGCCAUCGGCGAUCCCCCACGCGAAGGGGGACGACGAAAUUAGAAAAAUGGCCGAAGCUAUCAUGGAUAAAGUUGUUGAUCAACUACUAAACGAAGCUGCAGAAGUAGUUCUAAGGGAAGAUUAGAUGUUAUUGUAAAAAUAUUUGGAAUGUAAUAUUUGUUGAACAACAUGUGUAAUAUUUUGUAACUUUGAAUGUAAUAUAUAAGCUAUUUAUGGUUCAAUUAUUUACGAUGCAUGAAACUUUACAUACAUACCGUUUUUUGAGCCUUCGGCGAAAAAACACCUUCCCUUCUUUUCAUGCUUCGUAAAUAAUAUCUGUAUUUUCAUAAAAACAUCCAAUCGUCGUAAAAUCAGUAACCAAUAGAUCUUUUCAUUUCGGAGUUUGACGAAGGUAUGCUUCUUUGAUAAUUAUUCUUGUGCCUUGGCACUGUUUCUUCGAAACAAUCUUCGAAUAUCAACAUUGAACCCCCUUCUUGCAUCAUUGAUGCAAUAUGAUGUAUGAUGUUAUGCUAUGCAAAUGAUGUGAUGAUGUGAUGUUAUGCAAAAUGAUAUUUGCCGAAGAUCGACGUUUAUUUUUCACUUUAAGCCUCCCUUAGGAGCUUCUUCGCCUUUUACAUCAGCGGAAUCAGCGUUUAUUUUUCGUUGUAAGCCUCCCUUAGGAGCUUCUUCGCCUUUUACUUUCAGCGGCAUCAGUGUUUAUUUUUCGUUGUAAGCCUCCCUUAGGAGCUUCUUCGCCUUUUACUUUCAGCGGAAUCAGCGUUUAUUUUUCGCUGUAAGCUCUGCAUUCCCUUCGGAACGACUUUUGAGCAGAAAACUUACGCUGCGCUCCCUUAGGAACGACUUUUUGUUAUUUCUGAGAUUCUCCUUGUAGCCAUAAAUUCUUAUGCUUCGGCAACUCCGUUAUUCUAUGAAGAAGGUAUAUUUUUACUGUGGCGAAAACGAAGCUAUUACAAGAAAUUGAAAACGACAAAAAGCACUUAAGCUUUCAAUAAUUGUUCCUUAUUAAAAAGAAAAUGAUACUGAAUGUAAAAACUGCUUCCAAGGUAGGAUAUUUGUUAGUAAAUAUGAUUCGAUUCUGGCACAGUACUAUUGAUUGUGCGAGCUUCGGACUCUUCUCUGAAGUCCCGUUGGAGGUGGGUAUGCUGACUCCCUUCUGGCUGCUGGCCUCGUUGCAUUGGUGGUGGAGGUGGAGGCUGUUGCCAAGAUGCCUGAGGUUGGCUUGCCGAAGCAACAGAAGCUGCAGGGUGGUUGCCUACAUACUCUGGAAUGUAAGGCGAAUGGUACGAAGCAGUGUGCAUAACUUGCUUCAGCUGACUCUGUUGGGCUGCAGCUUCUGCUAUCUCCUUUUGUUUCUGGAUGGUAACAUGGCACAUGCUGGUGGUAUGGCCCUUGUCCUCACCACAGAAUAGGCAAUAAAUCUUCCUGGGCUGAUCCCCAAAUCUUCCUCCAAAGCCCCUGGCACCUCUGCCCCUUGGAGCUGGAGGCCGAGGAUAGCUCUGCUGCUGCCCCGAAGCCUGGGAGGAAUAUUGCGGCCUCUGCUGCUGGCUUCCCCUGUCAUCACUCUGAGUGUUAUGAAUCGAUCUGACAUGUCUAGGAUGAAUUCUUCCUCCGAAGCCCCUAGCUAUUUCGGAGAACCUGUAAGCUUCCUCCCUUCUCUGUCGAAAGUCAUUGUCAGCGCAGAUGUAUUCAUCCAUCUUCUGAAGCAGUUUUUUCAGUGUCUGAGGGGGCUUCCUGGCAAAGUAUUGGGCUGAAGGUCCCGGCCGGAGCCCCUUAAUCAUGGCCUCAAUGCCAAUUUCAUUGGGCACUGUUGGCGCUUGUGCCCUCAGGCGUAAGAACCUUCGGACAUACGCCUGAAGAUAUUCUUCGUGAUCUUGGGUGCACUGGAACAAAGCUUGAGCGGUGACUGGCUUCGUUUGAAACCCUUGGAAACUGGUGAUCAGCAUAUCCUUCAGCUUCUGCCAUGAUGUGAUUGUUCCUGGCCGAAGGGAGGAGUACCAGGUUUGUGCAACAUUCUUGACGGCCAUGACGAAAGACUUCGCCAUAACUGCAGUGUUCCGCCAUAGGAAGACAUUGUUGCUUCGUAGCUCAUCAGAAACUGCUUCGGAUCUGAAUGUCCGUCGUACAUGGGGAGUUGAGGUGGCUUGUAAUACGGAGGCCAAGGUGUAGCCUGCAGUUCUGCUGACAGAGGAGAAGCAUCAUCAAAAGCAAAAUUUCCAUGAUGGAAAUCCUCAUACCAAUCAUCCUCGUUGACAAAGCCCUCUUGAUGAAGCUCUCUGUGCUGAGGCCUUCGGUUCUGCUCAUCUUGAGCAAGAUGGCGAACUUCUUCAGAGGCUUCGUCUAUCUGCCUUUGCAGGUCAGCUAGCCUAGCCAUCUUUUCCUUCUUCCUUUGCACCUGCUGAUGGAGCAUCUCCAUAUUUCUGAUCUCUUGAUCCAAGUCGUCCUCCUGAGGCGUUGGACUGGUGGCCUUCCUCUUCUGGCUUCGGGCCUCCCGAAGAGAGAUGGUCUCCUGGUUAGGAUCCAGCGGCUGCAGAGCGGCAGCCCCUGUUGCUGAAGCUUUCUUUGGCGGCAUGACGAAGGUCUAUGCUUGCCGAAGGUGUUCAAAACUCAAAAAGUGGAAGUGAGUUCACCGGAGGUGGGCGCCAAUGUUGGGGACUUGUUCUCAAAUGCUAAGAGUUAAGAACAAGGCAACAUAAAAAAUGUUAAAUGUUAAAGUCCUUCGUCCUUCGAAGCAUUAUCUCCCUUCGGAUAUAAUGAAUCCCGGACGAAGGUUAUGAAGGGCAAGCCUUCAUAAGCACAAUAAAUAACGGAGAAGGAUUCAUACACAAGAUAUGAAAAAUAAUAUAAACACUUUAAACAUUGUUAUUAACUUAUUUUUAUUUGCGUUAUUGUAUUAACAAUAACAAAUUACAAAUGUACCUUCGGCUCGAAGGAAAGCAAGGGUACAAGCGUGACGCGAAAGCAAAUGCCAAGUCAGCGUGAACAGUACGGGGAUACUGUUCACCUAUUUAUAGGCACGGGACGCAGCCCAUGUAAAAUUACACCCAUGCCCUUUACAUUUGCUAAUGACCCUAUAGUAAUCCAUCGAGGUCGGAAUAGCCUUUUCCUUUUUAAGUCGGUUCCCUUUUCUGCUGUCAUGCCGAAGCUCUCCUGCACAUAGCUUCGGCUCUGCGCCAACCUUCGUGUUCUUUGUGCCUCUUCAUGUUGUAGUUCUGAUCCAAAUCUGAAGAUACCUGUUCAUGUAUUAUACUCCAGAAACAUUGUUAAAUCAUGUUUUUGAGGACCUUCGAAAGCCGAAGGCCCCUGUUGGGGGCCUUCGGCUUCCGAAGGUCCUCAAAAACGUGAUUUAACAAUGUUUUCUAAGUAUGCGAGCAGGUUUCUUCGGAAUCAGGAAUCAGGUUGCGGGUAUACAGAAGCAUGGUCAAGACGAAGCUUGACUGGGACGGCGAUCGUGACGAAGGAUAAGAUGAUCACGAAGCUAUAUGCAGAAGAGCUUCGGCAUCACGGCGGAAAGGGGAAACCGACUUAAAGAUGAAAAGCCAAACUAGACCUCGAAGAAUUACUAUAGGGUUAUUGAUAAAUGUAAAGGGCAUUAUUGUAAUUUUGCAUGGGCUGCGACUCGUGCCUAUAAAUAGGUGAACAGUAUCCCUGUACUGUUCACGCUGACUUGGCAUUCACUUUUACGCCACGCCUGUAUUUUCUUUCCUUCAAGCCGAAGGUACAUUUGUAAUUUAUCUUUGCAUACACAAGUUAUAUAAAUAGAAAUAUAUUAAUAAUAAUGAUGUUUAAAGAAAUUAUGCUACUUUCUAUUCUUUGUUUGAAUGUUUUUCAUCUUUUACCAUGAUCAUGAAGGUACAUCCUUCACGACCUUCAUCCUAAAUUUGUUAUAUCCGAAGGGAAAUAACGAUUUGAAGUACGAAGGGCUUUUGAUAUUUAACAUUUUAUGUUGCCUUGUUCUUGAUUCAUAGCACUUGAGAACAAGUCCCCAACAUUAGCGCCCACCUCCGGUGAACUCACUUCCAUUUUUUGAGUCUUGAACAAUUUCGGCAAGCAUCACCUUCAUCAUGCCGCCGAAAAAGCUUCAGCGACAGGGGCUGGUACUUUACAGCCGCUGGAUCCCAAUCAGGACGUCCUUUCUCUUAGAGAGGCCCGAAGCCAGAAGAGGAAGGCUGUUAGUCCAACACCUCCGGAGGAUGACCUGGAUCAGGAGAUUCAAAACCUGGAGAUCCUUCAGCAACAGGUGCAGCGCAAGAAGGAGAAGAUGGCUCGUCUAGCUGACCUUCGGAGAUAGAUAGACGAAGCUUCUGAAGAGGUUCGUCAUCUUGUUCAAGAUGAUCAGAGCCCAAGGCCUCCAUGCAGAGAGAUCCAUCAGGAAGGCUUCCACAAUGAGGACGACUGGUAUGAAGAUUUCCAUCACGGAAACUUUUCUUUCGAUGAUGAUUCUCCUCUCUCAACAGAAUUGCAGGCUACACCAUGGCCCCAGUCUUACAAGCCACCCCAGCUUCCCAUGUAUGACGGUCAUACAGACCCGAAGCAAUUCUUGAUGAGUUACGAAGCAACCAUAUCUUCGUAUGGUGGCAAUACUGCAGUCAUGGCAAAAUCUUUUGUCAUGGCCGUCAAGAGCGUCGCUCAGACCUGGUACUCUUCUCUUCGGCCAGGGACAAUCACUUCUUGGCAGAAGUUGAAGGACAUGCUGAUAACUAGCUUCCAAGGGUUUCAGACGAAGCCAGUCACUGCUCAAGCUUUAUUUCAGUGUACCCAAGACCACGAAGAAUACCUCCAAGCGUACGUCCGAAGGUUUCUGCGUCUGAGGGCACAAGCGCCAACAGUGCCCAAUGAAAUUGUCAUUGAGGCCAUGAUUAAGGGGCUUCGGCCGGGACCUUCAGCGCAGUACUUUGCCAGGAAGCCACCACAAACGUUGGAGAAGCUGCUUCAGAAGAUGGACGAAUACAUUCGAGCUGACAAUGACUUCCGCCAAAGAAGGGAGGAAGCAUUCAGGUUCUCUGAAAUGACCAGGGGCUUCGGAGGAAGAUUUCACCCGAGGCACGUUAGGUCAAUUCAUAACUCUGCUCAAACUGAUGAUCGAGGGAGUCAGCAGCAAAGGCCACAAUACUCUUCACAAGCUUCGGGCCAGUAGCAAAGUUCUUUUUGGCCGCCAGCGCCAAGGGGCAGAGGCGCCAGGGGCUUCGGGGGAAGGUUUAGAGAUCAGCCAAGAAAAAUUUAUUGCCUAUUCUGUGGUGAAGAUAAGGGCCAUACCACCAGGAUGUGUCACGUUACCAUCCAGAAGCAGAAGGAAAUAGCAGAAGCAGCUGCGCAACAAAGUCAGCCAAAGCAGGUCAUGCAUACUGCUUCGUAUCAUUCGCCUUAUAUUCCAGAAUAUGUAGGCAACCACCCUGCAGCUUCUGUUGCUUCGGCAAGCCAACCCCAAGCAUCUUGGCAGCAUCCUCCACCACCACCGCCGACGCAGCGAGGACAGCAGCCAGAAGGGAGUCAAAACAAUCACCUUCAGAGGGACUUCAGAGAGGAGUCUGAAGCUCGCACAGUCAAUAACACUGUGCCAGAGUCAAAGCACAUUUAUUGAUAAAUAUCCUAUCUCAACAGCAAUUUUUUCGCAUUUUUACAUUCAGUACUACCUUUUUGUCAAUAAGGAACAAUUAUGAGAAGUUUAUGUGUUUUUUAUCCUUUUUCAAUUUCUUGUAACACUUUCUCCUUUUUACCAUAAUAAAAAUAUGUCCUUUCCGUAGGCUUGAGUUGCCGAAGCAUACGACUUUAUGGUGGCAUGAAGGACCUUUGUAUUAUCAAAAAUUUGUUUUAACAGACACAGUGCAACUUCUGCAAAACACUGAAAAGUCGUUUCUAAUGGAGCGCAGUGUAAGUUUUCUGAAUCUACAGCGAAAAAUAAACGCUAAUUCCGCUGAAAGUAAAAGGCGAAGAAGCUCCUAAGGGAGGCUUACAGCGAAAAAUAAACGCUGAUUCCGCUGAAAGUAAAAGGCGAAGAAGCUCCUAAGGGAGGCUUACAGCGAAAAAUAAACGCUGAUUCCGCUGAAAGUAAAAGGCGAAGAAGCUCCUAAGGGAGGCUUACAGCGAAAAGUCAGCGCUGAUAUAUAAAAGUAUGUGUGCUCUAUUACAGGGAUUUAUAUCCGUGGCGCAAAUAUCAUUUUGCAUGACAUAACAUCAUCACGUCAUUUUUGCACAACAUAAGCAUCAUACAACAUAUUGCAUGUGGAACAAGAAGGGGAUACAGUGUUGAUCUUCGGAGAAUAUCUUGGAAAAGAGAAAAUUGUGCUAAGGCACAAGAUAAAUCGAGACGCAACACAAAACUUUUUUAUACCUUCGGAGAAUAUUUCACGAAGCUUGGAUAUUCUUCAUCAGAGAAGUAAGCAAAUUCUUGUGAUAUAGAAAAGAUUUUCUUCACGAAGCAUGAAAAGAAGGGAAGGUGUUUUUUCGCCGAAGGCUCAAAAAAUGGUAUGUAUGCAAAAUUUCAUGCAUCGUAAAGAAUUAAACUAUAGAUUAUAUAUUACAUUCAAAGUUACAAUAUAUUACACAUGUUACAUUCCAAAUGUUUCUACAGUAACAUUCAAUCCUCCUUAAGCACUAUUUCUGCAGCUUCAUUCAAUAGUUGGUCGACAACCUUGUCCAUAAUGGCUUCGGCCAUUUUUCUAAUUUCAUCGUCCCCCUUCGGGUGGGGGCCCGGAGAUGCCUCAGCAGGUUCUGAGGGAAGAGAAGAUACGGCUAUAUUACUAUUACAAACCGCGAACAAAGUCUCGAAUUAAAAAUUACAGCAUAAUAAAAACCACUAAUUAAUACCUAUUUGCCCUUCGGGCUCUGUACUUUUCUCCGCAGCUUCUGCUACUUUUCUGGCAUCGUGGAUGCCUUUUUCACUCUUUUGAAUAAUUUCUCGCGUCAUUUCUCGGCCGCCGUUGUCCCAGAUAUCGGUGAAGAAUUUUCCGCCGACCAUGCUUGCUUCGGCUGAGGGGUCUUUAAUAUCUUCAGAGGACAAGGUAGCUUCGGUCUGCGCUAAGGAUUUUACAUGCUCGCAGCCUUUCCUCUCCAAAACAGCAGCAAUCCCUCUAGCACCCGAAAAAGCGCAGAUGUCACCGCGGCUGUUCAGGAUUUCCUCGAAGGCCUCUGCUUCGUGACUGAUUCAUUCCAUUGGACCUUCAGGAUUGCCUUCUCUUCACUAGAGAAUGCGCCAACGCUGGCGAAGCUGGAUUUUAUCUUCUUAACGCACUCUAUGGAUUUAACAUAGCAUUUUCUCUGGGAUGCACGAAGCUCCUUAACACUUAUCUCUAAAUGAUUGGCCAAUUGAUCACUAAGCUCUCGUUUUGUUUCUUCAAGUAUACGUUCUUCUUUAGCUCUAGCUAGCUAUUUCUGAAGAUCUUUAAUUUCACGUUUUUGGGCCUCGGCCUGGGCCUUUGAGGCAGCUUCGUCCUUUUUUACCUUGUCUACCAAUGUAAGCAGAAUUUUAUCCUUUUCCAGAGCCUCGUUUCUCAGUUUAAUAACUUCUGAUCAUAGGUUGUUGAACGCAAUUUCAUAGCUUUCGUCUUCGGCAUUCUUUUGUGCUCUCAAUGCGUUGCUUAGAAUUAAACCCUAUAUGUAAAAGAGUUGGUAUAAGAAUAAAAGAAUGAGUUGUGAAUUAUAAAAUUUCCAAACGCCCAAUUCCCAUACCUUCAGGCUAUUGUAUGCAAGACUAUCCGCAAGAUCGUCCUUCGUCAUAGCACAUAAUCCAGCUUCAAGCUUUGGAAAUCCCAUACUUCUAGCCAUCUCCCGACAGACGGAUAAUUCUUUGUUGUCUGGGAGGCAGUAUAGGAAAUCUUCUUCGUUCGUCCCAUUGAACACUAGUGCCCCCUUCGGAUAUUUCAAUUCUUUGGCAUAGUGAUUAGCUUCAAAAACUUCUUCUUCCGAUAACUUUUUCCCCGAAGCAUGUCGCACGAUAUAGUCAUAUAUUUUGGAAGAUGCUUUGGGGGCGGCGGUAUCAAUUUCUUCGACCAAAGUUGGCUCUGACAUUUUCAUUUCUUCGGUUGCCUUUGCAAUUUUUGCUUCUUCUGCUUCAAAAGGUAUUACCUUGGUUGGUUCUGAAGGUCCGGUUUCAACUCCAGUCUGUUGCUUCGGAGCUUCAGCAACGCACACUUCAGCAAGCGCCUCAGAAGUUUCAGCAGUCUUCUUUGGGGUUGUGCUUGGAAGUUUAAUUGUUUCCAAAACAUCUAACACAUUAACCAUUCUUUUCCUUUUUGGGGUCACUGUUGGCCCCUUUUUAAUUUUUCAUGCUUCAAUUUCUUCUGAAGGACUUAAAAUUUCUGAUACCUUCACUCCCUCAGUUGAUGCUUUCGCUUCUUCCGUCUUUGGUUCUUCCAUCUUUUCUGUCGCUGGCACUUCGGCCAUUUCUGUGACUUCUGCCAGCAGGGUUGGCUCUUCAGCCUCGGUGGCCGAAGAGGUCUCACCGGUGAACUCAGGCACCGUGGCUGGUUCAAUAUAGCGUGGCCGGUGUGUGAGAACUUUUACCCUUUUUCUCUUCGGCGCUGGCUCGCUAGGAGCAGCUGCAGCUGUUUCUUUCGUAGAAGUUGUGCCUUUUCUUUUUUGCCCCCGUACUGGAUAGCGAUAGUCGGGGUAGACGAACCCGACUGCAUCAAACACUCGGUUGAGUCUUUUCCUUUUUCGGCCUCCGAAGGCCGCUGACAAUGCAGUGUCUUCGGCCUUCGAAUAUACCCCAAGCAAUUCAUCACUUACAGUCUCAAUGCUCUUUAACCAAUCAUCAUCUGGUUCAACGAACUUGUCUCUGUACUUAAAUGUAUACUUCAGCCUGACUAGCCCACCUUCGUCAGUUUCUUUAACAGUUUCUUUCGGCAUUUCCCAAUUAUCUGCAAGAGGCCACACUCUGAAGGCAAUGUGUUCUUGUAUUAAAUCCCUUGUCCCAAUAAAAGAGCAAACUACGCCGAAGGCCCGUUGGCAUUCUUCGGCUACUUCAUCCAUUUCUACCUUCGGUUUUCGGAGUCCGAAGCGCUGCCAGAUGGGGCACAUGAUGACAUCCUUAAUAUCUUCACGAACCUUCAAAUCAUUUUUUACAUAGAACCAUUCUUUCAUCCAUUCUCCGGGCCAUCUCUUCCGAAAGGUGGGCACGGGACAACUUGAUCCAGAGCGAGCACCGAAGUUGUAGCAACCAAAGUUGUUAUGAUAUUGCUCUUUACCCCAGGGCUUCGUUUCGUAUAACAAUUCAUGUAUAUUGCAAAAGCUUUUCGCACUUGGCUCUAGGCCCUGACUCUUCACAGCCCAGACGAAGAUUCCCAUUCUUAUUAUUGCUUCAGGGGUAAGUUGAUGAAGGUAAACCUGAUAUAUUUUCAGGACUUCUACCACAAACCUGCUUAUAGGGAAUCGUAGCCCAACUUUUAAAAAGCUUCGGAAGAUAACGACUUCAUCAUCUUCGGGAGUCGGCACAGUUCUUUCUCCGGCAUCUGCUCUCACAAUGGACAUAUCUCGAAAAUAUCUCCCCCUCAUGUUUUCAAGGUGACUUUGCCCAAUAGUUGAUUUUCCGAAGACUGAAUGGCUUGGUCGCCAUGGUCGAUCUUCGGAAUCUUCACCCCCACUGUCUACAUCAUAACUGUCACUAUCACCAGUGUCUUCAGAUAAACCUUCUAAAAUCUCCCUUGUAAUCUUCUCCGUAUUCAUCUUUGCUAUUGACUCAAGAAAACCCAGAUGCAUCUCUUCAGAAAGACUCAGCUUCAUUUCGGCAGCAACCUUCUUCUCCUCAGACAUCCCUUCGGAAUUCUUGCCUCUCGCUUUCGAAGCUUAAAACUAGGGAGGCAACCAAAUAUUUGUGGGCAGAAAACUAUUUGAGCAGGCAAAACAGAUGGCAAGAGAGCGUGCCAAAUAAAUUGUGGCGAGUCCCUAUUUAUACACCCAUUAUGUCGAAAACUGGAGGGUCCCGCUUGUCAAAGACUGUUGCUAUUCUAGCAAAGGGAAGGUGUUUUUUCGGACCUUCGGCUCAAAGCCUUCGUCCAUGUCACAAUAUAAAUUUAUCAUUCCAGCAAAUUAAUAUUGCGAGGGGCUACUGUUGGGGGCCUUCGGCUUCCGGAGGUCCUCAAAAACGUGAUUUAACAAUGUUUUCUAAGUAUGCGAGCAGGUAUCUUCGGAAUCAGGAAUCAGGUUGCGGGUAUACAGAAGCAUGGUCAAGACGAAGCUUGACUGGGACGGCGAUCGUGACGAAGGAUAAGAUGAUCACGAAGCUAUAUGCAGAAGAGCUUAGGCAUCACGGCGGAAAGGGGAAACCGACUUAAAGAUGAAAAGCCAAACUAGACCUCGAAGAAUUACUAUAGGGUUAUUGAUAAAUGUAAAGGGCAUUAUUGUAAUUUUGCAUGGGCUGCGACCCGUGCCUAUAAAUAGGUGAACAGUAUCCCUGUACUGUUCACGCUGACUUGGCAUUCACUUUUACGCCACGCCUGUAUUUUCUUUCCUUCAAGCCGAAGGUACAUUUGUAAUUUAUCUUUGCAUACACAAUUUAUAUAAAUAGAAGUAUAUUAAUAAUAAUGAUGUUUAAAGAAAUUAUGCUACUUUCUAUUCUUUGUUUGAAUGUUUUUCAUCUUUUACCAUGAUCAUGAAGGUACAUCCUUCACGACCUUCAUCCUAAAUUCGUUAUAUCCGAAGGGAAAUAACGAUUUGAAGGACGAAGGGCUUUUGAUAUUUAACAUUUUAUGUUGCCUUGUUCUUGAUUCAUAGCACUUGAGAACAAGUCCCCAACAGCCCCCAACAGCGUCGUUUGACCUCUCGAUCGCCAUAUCUCUCGAUUUCUGUGCCAUAAUUCUCUGUGUAUGUAUUUAUUCACAUUUCAUAUACUUAUGACUAUGUGACUAAUACGUGCUCACCUCUUCUGUCAUUUCAGUGACCUUGCCUGCCCGUGAGCCGUCUCAUGUCCUGCCUGGAUUCUCUCCCUCUUGUGUGAGAUUUCCAGGUAGCUAUUCGUUCUUUUGUCAUCCUAUCGGCUAUUAUCGACUUGUGCUUAGCUUCUCUCUCUCAUUUGCAGUCGUCAGGUCAGGAUGCCACGCACGAAGAAUGUGUCGGCGCCAGGGGGAGGAGAUGACGAGGACCCUCCUCGACCCUUUAGGAAGGUCAAUGGGAAGACUGUUUAUUUGGAGCAGCAGGAAGGCCGCAAGAAGCGGCGUUUGGAUAGAACAGCCCGAGCGGCUCUAGCAGCAAGAACAUCCGCUGAGCAGGCUAAGAGAGGAGAUUAGGUACAGAUUCCUUCCGAUCAGAUUGCUUACCGAGUUCGUCGCCUCGCCUCUCGGCCUCGCUCCUCCGCACCAACCACUCCCACCACUGCUACCACUCCACCACCCACUUCACCUGCUCCCAUCACUCAUGCGCCAUCCACCACCUCAGCCAUACCUACCACCUCCACUACUCCAGCUUCCACUGCUCCUCCUCCCGCUCCCCUUUCCGCUCCACCUAUCCCACCUGCCCGCUUCCGGGAGCGAGAUGAGACUGAGGUGCGACCACUAGUUGCGGAUCCCAGGUUGUUUGAUCUUCAGCGUGCUACAGCGGCACGGGUACGUCGGUUCAGACACGUACCCAUGGAGACUUGGCUACUGGCUCAGAGGGACCCUGCUGCAGUCGAUCUCUUCAGUACCCAGAUACAGGAGUCCUUCUUUCGAGCUGAGAUGUCUGCACAGAUUGCUCUACAAGUGCACCGGCUUUUGGACCUUCCUGCAUUUCUGCUAGCCGUCGAUGCUGCCUCUAAGGUACACCUCUCCUAUCUGCCUGGACUUCUCACUCUCUUGACUACCAGCGGCAGAUAUGUUGAGGAAUGGGUCCGAGUUUUCUAUGCUUCUGUAUGGAUCGACCCUGAUCACCAGUGGAUGAGAUUCCGCUUUGAGCGCGAGGAUGUUACAAUUCAUGCCAGCCAGAUUCGCCAGUUGUUUGGAUUCAACGAGUCAUCAACUCGUCUUCACAGCUUGUGCUACGGCACCUCUGAUCCUCCUCGUCGACCUCACGGCGGAGUUGCUCCUGGUACAGCUCACGUCGCGGCUUUGUUCCGACCGCCCUUCUCAGAUGGGUCACGAUGUUCUCUGGCAGACUUCACCACAGCGGCCAAGAUUUUAUAUCAGCUCAUGAGACGGACGCUUCUGCCACAGAUGGGUUACAGGGAGGCUGCUACUCAUAUCCAACUCUGGCUACUUGGUGCCAUGGUCUCUCACUCAGAGUUUGAUGUUGUGGACUUUCUUAUUUGUGAGAUUGAGGACACCGUACUGGAUGGUAUGCGUGCCCAGCGACAGCUGCCAUAUGCUCACUAUCUCUGCCACAUCUUCGCUCAGCUAAUUCGGCCACCACAGUUCUAGGGAACUCUUGAGGCCUCUCGCCUCCUCUUUGGGUCCUACCGUCCAGCCCCUGAGGAUCCUGUGUCGGCACCUUCUCAAGUGAUUGACACUCAGGCCGAGGAUACCGCUUUUCACCAGUUUGAGACUCAGGGCGCAACAGUCCCUGACGAUGAUGAUGAUGAUGACUUUGGGGUUCCGCCUCUGCCUCCACGCACUCAUGAUUAUGAGGCUAGGAGUUCCAGUGCUGCCCCUGCUAGCCCGCCUGCCAUUGGCCCUGCUCUUGCUGUGAUCCUCCAGACCCUUACUCAGCAGCAGGCUCACUUGGCCGCAGUCUAGCAGUAGAUGUUCGAGAGAAUGCUAUCGAUGUUUCAGACUAUUCAGGACAGACAGGAUACUCUACAGCAGCAGCUUCUGGCAGACCGCCAAGUAAGAAGUGUAGAACAAUUAGCUCAUAAGGACCGCCAUUGUAUAACCAUUCAUCAACAGAUGCAGCUUCCCAAAUUGGGUAAAAAUGCAAUCCGAUCGCCGCAGAAGUAGGAAUAAUAGCACCAGAGAUAAUAUUGUUUCCAUAAAGUAAAGAACCAGAAACAGGCUCACGAAUACCAUCAAUAUCUACUGGAGGAGCAGCGAUGAAGGCGAUAAUAUAUACGGAAGUUGUGGUCAAUAAGGUAGGGAUCAUCAAAACACCAAACCAUCCAAUGUAAAGACGGUUUUCGGUGCUAGUUAUCUAGUUGCAGAAGCGACCCCACAGGCUUGUACUUUCGCGUCUCUCUAAAAUUGCAGUCAUGGUAAGGUCUUGGUUUAUUCAAAUUGCAAGGACUGGGCUGAGAACAGGGCCUUCAUGACUCUCAUGCUUUAGCAUACCGGUGUUCCAAUUCCCCUAGUUCAAUCAGCACCGCCUCCACCUCUUCAGGCUAUUGUUGUGCCAGCCAUUCAGGCAGGACCUCCUCUUCCUACAGUUGGUCCUUCUUCCUCUCCGCUCCGACCAAUCACCCUGGUUUUCUCGUCGUCGGUCAUCAGCUUCGUCAGCACUCAGCCGCCAGUGCCCCCAGCUCCUGCUGUUACCACUACUGUUGUGGCGGUAUCUGUGACCUCUUCAGCUCCGGCAGCUCCUGCAGCAUAGCCUCCGUCCGAGUCAGUACCAGCUCCAGCUUCUAUGGCAGAUCCUGGAUCUGAGACUGACUCUGACCCGCAGCUGGCAUUCGCUCUUCUGCCACGACCACGACCGGAUGCGCCCCCGCCACCUCCUUCCUCUUCUGGUGUGUAGGUUUGAGUUCCCUUUUGGUGUUUGACGCCAAAGGGGGAGAGAUAUGUGAGUUGUGAGAGCUAGGGGAGUUAGGGAGUUAGUAGAGAGUCAUUUUGAUUUAAUAUAUGUGCUCGUUACUCUCUGUACUAGCUCCACUUUUGUAUGAUGAUUUUGGCUCACAAACUCUAUUAUAUACUCUCAAUGCUUAGGUUGACUACGUGUGCAUUAUGUUUUCACAUUAUAUGUUAUCACCAGUCUUCUAGUUCUUGUUCAUCGAUUUGAUUUCACUUUUAUAUGAACAAAACUUACGAUGUGUAUGCGCUCAUUCCUAUUACUAUGUUACACACUCUUUCUGUCAAAGACUAUUGAGUACAACUAACCAUCUUUUCUAUUGACAGAAAUUUCAAAAACAAACUACUCUCACAAACCUUGUAGGGUUAUCAUCAAUCACCAAAAAGAGGGAGAUUGAAAGCAUCUAGGCCCCUCACUACAGGAAACGCAUAAAUUUUCAUGGGCCAAAAACCCACGAAAAUAAGGGUAAACCGACGAAAAAAGUCUAUUUUUGUCGGCAUGCCGACGAAAAUAGCCGCCGAAAAUAAAUUCGACGAAAAUGCACAACUAGGCUUAAGCCAGCUUCGAGCUUCGGAAACCCCAUGCUUCUAGACAUCUCCCGGCAGACGGACAAUUCUUUAUUGUCUGGGAGGCAGUAUAGGAAAUCCUCUUCGUCCGUCCCAUUGAAUACUAGUGCCCCCUUCGGAUAUUUUAAUUCUUUGGCAUAGUGGUUAGCUUCAAAAACUUCUUCUUCCGAUAACUUUUUCCCUGAAGCAUGACGCACAAUAUAAUCGUAUAUUUUGGAAGAUGCUUCGGGGACAGCAGUAUCAAUUUCUUCGACCAAAAUAGGCUCUAACAUUUUUAUUUCUUUAGUCGCCUUUUCAAUUCUUGCUUCUUCUGCUUCCAAAGGUAUUACCUUGGUUGGUUCUGAAGGCUCAGUUUCAACUACAGUCUGUUGCUUUGGAGCCUUAGCAACGGAUACUUCCACAGGCGCCUCUGAAGUUUCAGCAGUCUUCUUUGGAGUUGUGCUUGGAAGUUUAAUUGUCUCCAAAACAUCCAACACAUUGACCAUUCUUUUUUCUUUUUGGGGUCACUGUUGGCCCCUUUUUUCUUGCUACUUCAAUUUCUACUGAAGGACUUAAAAUUUCUGAUAUUUUUGCUCCCUCAGUUGAUGCUUUUGCUUCUUCCAUCUUUUCUGUCGAUGGUGCUUCACCAUCUCUUUGGUUUCUGGUAACAGAAUCUUUGGUUCAUCCAAUUCCUUUGUUGUUGGCGCUUCGGCCAUUCCUGCGACUUCUGGCAGCAGGGUUGGCUCUUCAGCCUCGGUGGCCGGAGAAGUCUCUCCGGUGAAUUCAGGCACCGUGGCUGGUUCAAUAUAGCAUGGCCGAUGUGUGAGAACUUUUAUCCUCUUUCUCUUCGGUGCUGGCUCACUAGGAGCAGCUGCAGCUUUUUCUUUCGCAGAAGUUGUGCCUUUUCUUUUUUGCCCUCGUAUUGGAUAGCGAUAGUCGGGGUAGACGAACCCGAUUGCAUCAAAUACCCGGUUGAGUCUUUUCCUUUUUCGGCCUCCGAAGGCCGCUUACAAAGCAGUAUCUUCGGCCUUCGAGUAUGCCCCAAGCAAUUCAUCACUUACAGUCUCAAUGCUCUUUAACCAAUCAUCAUCUGGUUCAACGAAUUUGUCUCCAUACUUGAAUGUGUACCUUAGCCGGACUAGCCAACCUUCGUCAGUUUCUUUAAUAGUUUCUUUCGGCAUUUCCCAAUUAUCCGCAAGAGGCCACACUCUGAAGGCAAUAUGUUCUUGUGUUAAAUCCCUCGUCCCAAUAAAAGAGCAAACAACUCCGAAGGCUCUCUGGCAUUCUUCGGCUGCUUCAUUCAUUUCCACCUUCGGCCUUCGCAGGCUGAAGCGUUGCCAGAUGGGAUGCAUAAUGAUCUUCUUUACAUCUUCUCGAGAUUUCAAGUCAUUUUUCACGUAAAACCAUUCCGUCAUCCAGUCGCCAGGCCACCUCUUGCGAAAGGUCGGCACUGGGCAGCUUGACCCAGAACGAGAGCCGAAGCUAUAACAGCCAAAGUUGUUGUGAUAUUGUUCCUUACCCCAGGGUUUUGUCUCGUAUAACAAUUCGUGUAUAUUGUAGAAGCUCUUUGCAUCAGGUUCCAAGCCUUGGCUCCUCACAGCCCACACGAAAAUAUUCAUCCUUAUGAUCGCUUCGGGGAUAAGUUGGUGAAGGUGGAUUUCAAAUAUCUUCAGCACCUCCACAACAAAACGGCUCAGGGGAAAUCGUAGUCCAGCUUUCAAGAAGCUUCGAAAUACUACAACUUCAUUUUCCUCAGGAGUUGGGCAAGUCUUCUCUCCCUCGUCGGCCCUUACAAUAGACAAAUCCCGGAAAUAUCUUCCCCUCAUGUUGGCAAGAUGACUUUCUUUAAUACUUGAUUUGCCGAAAACCGCAUGGCUUCGUCGCCAAGGUCGAUCUUCGGAGUCUUCGCCACCACUAUCCGCAUCAUAGCUGUCGCUAUCACCAGUAUCUUCAGAUAAACCUUCCAAAAUUUCUUUAGUGAUCUUCUCUGUAUUAGUCUUCGACAUAGAUUGAAGAAAACCCAGAUGCAUCUCUUCAGAAAGACUCAGCUUCAUUUCGGCAACAACCUUCUUCUCCUCAGACAUCUCUUCGGAAUUCUUGCCUCUCGCUUCCGAAGCUUAAUACUAGGGAGGCAACAAAAUAUUUGUGGCCAGAAAAUUAUUUGAGCAGGCAAAACAGAUGGCAAGGGAGCGUGCCGAAUAAAUUGUGGCGAGCCCGUAUUUACAAACCCAUUAUGUCGGAGACUGGAGGGCCCCAUUUGCCAAUGACUGUUGCUAUUCUAGCAAAAGGAAGGUGUUUUUUCGGACCUUCGGCUUAUAGCCUUCGUCCAUUUCGCAAUCUGAAUUCAUCAUUCUGACAAAUUAAUAUUGCGAGGGGCUACUGUUGGGGGCCUUCGGCUUCCGAAGGUCCUCAAAAACAUGUUUUAACAAUGUUUCUGGAGUAAAGUAUGUUAACAGGUACCUUCGGAUUCGGAUCAGAGCCACGGUACGAAGAAGCACAAAGGUUGGCGCAGAGCCGAAGCUGUGUGUAGAAGAGCUUCGGAGUAGCGGUGGAAAAGGAAACCGACUUAAAGAUGAAAAACCAGAUUAGACCUCGAAGAGUUAUCAUAGAGUUAUUGAUAAAUGUAAAGGGCAUUAUUGUAAUUUUCCAUGGGCUGCGACCCGUGCCUAUAAAUAGGUGAACAGUAUCCCCGUACUGUUCACGCUGAUUCGACAUUGGCUUUGGCAUCACACUUGUGCUUCUACCUUCUUUACGAGCUGAAGGUACACUUAUAAUUUAAUAUUAUCUUUAUCUUUCCAUCAUAAUAAAAUGGAAAUGAUUCGACAACAUUAAACAACUGUUUAUGUUAUCUUCAUGUUUCAUAUGAUCCUUUCUUCAUUAUUAUAUUUUAUGCUGAUGAAGGUAUGUCCUUCAUAACCUUCGCCCGAAAAUCAUUAUAUCCUUAAGGAAAUAAUGCUUAGAAGGACGAAGGAUAUUAAUAUUUAACAUUUUGUGUUGCCUUGUUCUUGAUCCAUAGCAUUUGAGAACAAGUCACCAACAAAUACAGAAUUCACAAACCACAUCCACAAUCAAUACCAUAAUUGUUUCAAACCACAAUCACAUCCAUAAUAAAGUCCAUACAUAGUCCAUAGACAAACUCACUCAUGGCAAGUCUCACUCCUGCGGGCUGUGGGAGUUUUGGCCACUCCCUCCUCCGCCACCAGGAAGGUGGCCACUCCCUCCGGAACCAUGGACGAGGUAGUCUUGGACGUUGACAGCACCCUCCGAUCCCUGAGCAUGUGACACUGAACCCUGCAAUUCAUCAAUCAUUCAAAUAAGGUUGUGUUUUGCUAUCCAUAUACCUAUACAUUGCUAUGUUUGGUCACUAUUUGCAUAAAACUAAACAUGGAACGUCACCUGUGAUCCAUUGUGCUGAGGAGGCUGUGCAUGCAUCCAUGGGUAAUGUUGUGCUGGCCACCCCUGGGGUGGUGGCACCCACCCCGGCGGUGGCGGUGCCAUCCACGCUUGAAGUGGCUGAGAGCCCGGCAGUGGCUGGGAGACCGGUGGCACCCAUCCCGGGGUUGGCUGCGAUCCCUGGGGUGGUGGAGCCGUCCAAGUGCCUGGAGGUGCCUGCGUCCACCCAACACCGGUCCACAGUGGCUGCGACGCUGGAGCUAGCUGAGAUCCCUGGAGUGGUGGCGUAAAUGGCUGCAACUCUGGAGCUUGUCCUGGCCACUGUCCCCAUCCUUGUGCCUGCGAGCCAUUUUUUAUAAUAAAAAAGAGUUGCUAUGGAAUUGAAGUGUUCAGAUAGUGUUACCUGGGGAGGGCAAAAAGCGGGCAAGUUCAUAUCAGGGCCGAGUCGAGAAGUCAUUUCCUGCAAAUGGAUGAAACGUUAGAAUCGCAACAUUAUACUUUGAAUUCAAUAACACGUGAUGAGAUAGAUGAAUUACCUGAAAAUAAGAAGCCAUAUACUGCGUCAGCUGUCCGACCUGCUCCUGCGCUGCUCGAGCUUGCUGCUGUGCUGCUCGAGCCUGCUCCUGUGCUGCUCGAGUCUCCUCCUCCACCUAAGCCUCUCGAGCAGACCUAGAGGAGCGAGAACUCCCUUGACCUAUUGUCCUGUUAUACUCCACAACGCCGGUGCCAAAGGCAAACCUGCAUGAUACACAUAGUUGAGCCAUUAAGUGGACAUAUUCUUGUUAAUGAAAUUGUCGAAUCAAACACAAACACCUCACCUGCCAUGCUUUCUACCCCCACCACUGUGGUACAACGCCGAGGCAUCUAAGUCCGAAUGCAUCCAGUCGAAGUCAGGCCCAUGGCGUUGAAUCAUUUCCUCCCCAUAUGCAUUCUGCAAAGAAAGUUAGAGUUGGAGUUAGACACAAAACAUGCAAUUUAAUUCAUAAAUACAAACUUGUUUACCAUUUUCUCCCUUGCCGCCUCGCUGCAUAGCACAUCAGGGUUCACCGGAUCAGGGCCACGGUGACCACGAACGUAAACCUCCAUAAAACUUGGAGCAACUACACUUUCAGCUUCCUGCAUGAAAAAGAAGAGUUAAACCAUAGAAUUUUCAUAGAUGUAACAUACAAGUUUGAUUUACAUACUUACCAUGCGGCGUGCGGUACCAAGGUGUCCAUCGGCGCCGUACCUGUGCCCCAGUCCUUCAGUGCCACGGUUGGCACGGUGCUUCUGGGACUCUGCAAUCCACUUAGGCGACGCCCAUCUCUUAGCCAACCACCUCCAGGCUUCCAUGUCCUUCGCAAGCCAAUCCACAACGCUCUCCAGGUACUACUCCUCUGUGAGGUAGAUCUCAUUGGCCCCUUUUAUCGAUGUUUCAGACUAUUCAGGACAGACAGGAUACUCUACAGCAGCAGCUUCUGGCAGACCGCCAAGUAAGAAGUGUAGAACAAUUAGCUCAUAAGGACCGCCAUUGUAUAACCAUUCAUCAACAGAUGCAGCUUCCCAAAUUGGGUAAAAAUGCAAUCCGAUCGCCGCAGAAGUAGGAAUAAUAGCACCAGAGAUAAUAUUGUUUCCAUAAAGUAAAGAACCAGAAACAGGCUCACGAAUACCAUCAAUAUCUACUGGAGGAGCAGCGAUGAAGGCGAUAAUAUAUACGGAAGUUGUGGUCAAUAAGGUAGGGAUCAUCAAAACACCAAACCAUCCAAUGUAAAGACGGUUUUCGGUGCUAGUUAUCUAGUUGCAGAAGCGACCCCACAGGCUUGUACUUUCGCGUCUCUCUAAAAUUGCAGUCAUGGUAAGGUCUUGGUUUAUUCAAAUUGCAAGGACUGGGCUGAGAACAGGGCCUUCAUGACUCUCAUGCUUUAGCAUACCGGUGUUCCAAUUCCCCUAGUUCAAUCAGCACCGCCUCCACCUCUUCAGGCUGUUGUUGUGCCAGCCAUUCAGGCAGGACCUCCUCUUCCUACAGUUGGUCCUUCUUCCUCUCCGCUCCGACCGAUCACCCUGGUUUUCUCGUCGUCGGUCAUCAGCUUCGUCAGCACUCAACCGCCAGUGCCCCCAGCUCCUGCUGUUACCACUACUGUUGUGGCGGUAUCUGUGACCUCUUCAGCUCCGGCAGCUCCUGCAGCAUAGCCUCCGUCCGAGUCAGUACCAGCUCCAGCUUCUAUGGCAGAUCCUGGAUCUGAGACUGACUCUGACCCGUAGCUGGCAUUCGCUCUUCUGCCACGACCACGACCGGAUGCGCCCCCGCCACCUCCUUCCUCUUCUGGUGUGUAGGUUUGAGUUCCCUUUUGGUGUUUGACGCCAAAGGGGGAGAGAUAUGUGAGUUGUGAGAGCUAGGGGGAGUUAGGGAGUUAGUAGAGAGUCAUUUUGAUGUAAUAUAUGUGCUCGUUACUCUCUGUACUAGCUCCACUUUUGUAUGAUGAUUUUGGCUCACAAACUCUAUUAUAUACUCUCAAUGCUUAGGUUGACUACGUGUGCAUUAUGUUUUCACAUUAUAUGUUAUCACCAGUCUUCUAGUUCUUGUUCAUCGAUUUGAUUUCACUUUUAUAUGAACAAGAAACUUACGAUGUGUAUGCGCUCAUUCCUAUUACUAUGUUACACACUCUUUCUGUCAAAGACUAUUGAGUACAACUAACCAUCUUUUCUAUUGACAGAAAUUUCAAAAACAAACUACUCUCACAAACCUUGUAGGGUUAUCAUCAAUCACCAAAAAGAGGGAGAUUGAAAGCAUCUAGGCCCCUCACUACAGGAAACGCAUAAAUUUUCAUGGGCCAAAAACCCACGAAAAUAAGGGUAAACCGACGAAAAAAGUCUAUUUUUGUCGGCAUGCCGACGAAAAUAGCCGCCGAAAAUAAAUUCGACGAAAAUGCACAACUAGGCUUAAGCCAGCUUCGAGCUUCGGAAACCCCAUGCUUCUAGACAUCUCCCGGCAGACGGACAAUUCUUUAUUGUCUGGGAGGCAGUAUAGGAAAUCCUCUUCGUCCGUCCCAUUGAAUACUAGUGCCCCCUUCGGAUAUUUUAAUUCUUUGGCAUAGUGAUUAGCUUCAAAAACUUCUUCUUCCAAUAACUUUUUCCCUGAAGCAUGACGCACAAUAUAAUCGUAUAUUUUGGAAGAUGCUUCGGGGACAGCAGUAUCAAUUUCUUCGACCAAAAUAGGCUCUAACAUUUUUAUUUCUUUAGUCGCCUUUUCAAUUCUUGCUUCUUCUGCUUCCAAAGGUAUUACCUUGGUUGGUUCUGAAGGCUCAGUUUCAACUACAGUCUGUUGCUUUGGAGCCUUAGCAACGGAUACUUCCACAGGCGCCUCUGAAGUUUCAGCAGUCUUCUUUGGAGUUGUGCUUGGAAGUUUAAUUGUCUCCAAAACAUCCAACACAUUGACCAUUCUUUUUUCUUUUUGGGGUCACUGUUGGCCCCUUUUUUCUUGCUACUUCAAUUUCUACUGAAGGACUUAAAAUUUCUGAUAUUUUUGCUCCCUCAGUUGAUGCUUUUGCUUCUUCCAUCUUUUCUGUCGAUGGUGCUUCACCAUCUCUUUGGUUUCUGGUAACAGAAUCUUUGGUUCAUCCAAUUCCUUUGUUGUUGGCGCUUCGGCCAUUCCUGCGACUUCUGGCAGCAGGGUUGGCUCUUCAGCCUCGGUGGCCGGAGAAGUCUCUCCGGUGAAUUCAGGCACCGUGGCUGGUUCAAUAUAGCAUGGCCGAUGUGUGAGAACUUUUAUCCUCUUUCUCUUCGGUGCUGGCUCACUAGGAGCAGCUGCAGCUUUUUCUUUCGCAGAAGUUGUGCCUUUUCUUUUUUGCCCUCGUAUUGGAUAGCGAUAGUCGGGGUAGACGAACCCGAUUGCAUCAAAUACCCGGUUGAGUCUUUUCCUUUUUCGGCCUCCGAAGGCCGCUUACAAAGCAGUAUCUUCGGCCUUCGAGUAUGCCCCAAGCAAUUCAUCACUUACAGUCUCAAUGCUCUUUAACCAAUCAUCAUCUGGUUCAACGAAUUUGUCUCCAUACUUGAAUGUGUACCUUAGCCGGACUAGCCAACCUUCGUCAGUUUCUUUAAUAGUUUCUUUCGGCAUUUCCCAAUUAUCCGCAAGAGGCCACACUCUGAAGGCAAUAUGUUCUUGUGUUAAAUCCCUCGUCCCAAUAAAAGAGCAAACAACUCCGAAGGCUCUCUGGCAUUCUUCGGCUGCUUCAUUCAUUUCCACCUUCGGCCUUCGCAGGCUGAAGCGUUGCCAGAUGGGAUGCAUAAUGAUCUUCUUUACAUCUUCUCGAGAUUUCAAGUCAUUUUUCACGUAAAACCAUUCCGUCAUCCAGUCGCCAGGCCACCUCUUGCGAAAGGUCGGCACUGGGCAGCUUGACCCAGAACGAGAGCCGAAGCUAUAACAGCCAAAGUUGUUGUGAUAUUGUUCCUUACCCCAGGGUUUUGUCUCGUAUAACAAUUCGUGUAUAUUGUAGAAGCUCUUUGCAUCAGGUUCCAAGCCUUGGCUCCUCACAGCCCACACGAAAAUAUUCAUCCUUAUGAUCGCUUCGGGGAUAAGUUGGUGAAGGUGGAUUUCAAAUAUCUUCAGCACCUCCACAACAAAACGGCUCAGGGGAAAUCGUAGUCCAGCUUUCAAGAAGCUUCGAAAUACUACAACUUCAUUUUCCUCAGGAGUUGGGCAAGUCUUCUCUCCCUCGUCGGCCCUUACAAUAGACAAAUCCCGGAAAUAUCUUCCCCUCAUGUUGGCAAGAUGACUUUCUUUAAUACUUGAUUUGCCGAAAACCGCAUGGCUUCGUCGCCAAGGUCGAUCUUCGGAGUCUUCGCCACCACUAUCCGCAUCAUAGCUGUCGCUAUCACCAGUAUCUUCAGAUAAACCUUCCAAAAUUUCUUUAGUGAUCUUCUCUGUAUUAGUCUUCGACAUAGAUUGAAGAAAACCCAGAUGCAUCUCUUCAGAAAGACUCAGCUUCAUUUCGGCAACAACCUUCUUCUCCUCAGACAUCUCUUCGGAAUUCUUGCCUCUCGCUUCCGAAGCUUAAUACUAGGGAGGCAACAAAAUAUUUGUGGCCAGAAAAUUAUUUGAGCAGGCAAAACAGAUGGCAAGGGAGUGUGCCGAAUAAAUUGUGGCGAGCCCGUAUUUACAAACCCAUUAUGUCGGAGACUGGAGGGCCCCAUUUGCCAAUGACUGUUGCUAUUCUAGCAAAAGGAAGGUGUUUUUUCGGACCUUCGGCUUAUAGCCUUCGUCCAUUUCGCAAUCUGAAUUCAUCAUUCUGACAAAUUAAUAUUGCGAGGGGCUACUGUUGGGGGCCUUCGGCUUCCGAAGGUCCUCAAAAACAUGUUUUAACAAUGUUUCUGGAGUAAAGUACGUUAACAGGUACCUUCGGAUUCGGAUCAGAGCCACGGUACGAAGAAGCACAAAGGUUGGCGCAGAGCCGAAGCUGUGUGUAGAAGAGCUUCAGAGUAGCGGUGGAAAAGGAAACCGACUUAAAGAUGAAAAACCAGAUUAGACCUCGAAGAGUUAUCAUAGAGUUAUUGAUAAAUGUAAAGGGCAUUAUUGUAAUUUUCCAUGGGCUGCGACCCGUGCCUAUAAAUAGGUGAACAGUAUCCCCGUACUGUUCACGCUGAUUCGACAUUGGCUUUGGCAUCACACUUGUGCUUCUACCUUCUUUACGAGCUGAAGGUACACUUAUAAUUUAAUAUUAUCUUUAUCUUUCCAUCAUAAUAAAAUGGAAAUGAUUCGACAACAUUAAACAACUGUUUAUGUUAUCUUCAUGUUUCAUAUGAUCCUUUCUUCAUUAUUAUAUUUUAUGCUGAUGAAGGUAUGUCCUUCAUAACCUUCGCCCGAAAAUCAUUAUAUCCUUAAGGAAAUAAUGCUUAGAAGGACGAAGGAUAUUAAUAUUUAACAUUUUGUGUUGCCUUGUUCUUGAUCCAUAGCAUUUGAGAACAAGUCACCAACAAAUACAGAAUUCACAAACCACAUCCACAAUCAAUACCAUAAUUGUUUCAAACCACAAUCACAUCCAUAAUAAAGUCCAUACAUAGUCCAUAGACAAACUCACUCAUGGCAAGUCUCACUCCUGCGGGCUGUGGGAGUUUUGGCCACUCCCUCCUCCGCCACCAGGAAGGUGGCCACUCCCUCCGGAACCAUGGACGAGGUAGUCUUGGACGUUGACAGCACCCUCCGAUCCCUGAGCAUGUGACACUGAACCCUGCAAUUCAUCAAUCAUUCAAAUAAGGUUGUGUUUUGCUAUCCAUAUACCUAUACAUUGCUAUGUUUGGUCACUAUUUGCAUAAAACUAAACAUGGAACGUCACCUGUGAUCCAUUGUGCUGAGGAGGCUGUGCAUGCAUCCAUGGGUAAUGUUGUGCUGGCCACCCCUGGGGUGGUGGCACCCACCCCGGCGGUGGCGGUGCCAUCCACGCUUGAAGUGGCUGAGAGCCCGGCAGUGGCUGGGAGACCGGUGGCACCCAUCCCGGGGUUGGCUGCGAUCCCUGGGGUGGUGGAGCCGUCCAAGUGCCUGGAGGUGCCUGCGUCCACCCAACACCGGUCCACAGUGGCUGCGACGCUGGAGCUAGCUGAGAUCCCUGGAGUGGUGGCGUAAAUGGCUGCAACUCUGGAGCUUGUCCUGGCCACUGUCCCCAUCCUUGUGCCUACGAGCCAUUUUUUAUAAUAAAAAAGAGUUGCUAUGGAAUUGAAGUGUUCAGAUAGUGUUACCUGGGGAGGGCAAAAAGCGGGCAAGUUCAUAUCAGGGCCGAGUCGAGAAGUCAUUUCCUGCAAAUGGAUGAAACGUUAGAAUCGCAACAUUAUACUUUGAAUUCAAUAACACGUGAUGAGAUAGAUGAAUUACCUG
rnacentral:lncRNA from 1 species